rnacentral:lncRNA from 1 species
CACAAUCAAGAUCUAGAACAUUUGCAUCAGUCUAAAAUGUUCCCCUGGGCCCACUGGAAGUUCCUCCUGUCCCAGGCAAUCAGUGAGGUGAUUUCUAUCAGCAUAGGGUAGUUCUGCCUGUUCUGGACCUUCAUGUAAAAGGAAUAAAUGGAACUUUACACAUGUACUAUUUUAUGUCUGGCUUGUUUUGCUCAGCGCAGUGUUUUUGGGAUUCAUUAUUUUUGUUAUGUGUAUCACCAGCAUCAGUAACAGAAUCCUUUAAAAAAAAUCUUUCGGUUAACUCAGUCAAAAUGUCAACCAUUAUUUGUACAUUAUAAAUUAAUAAUAUAUGCACUUUGAAAUGUGUUUGUUUUUGGAAAAGCAGCUCAUAGGUGAGGAGUACCACCAAGCUCUAAAAUAUUUGAGUAGCCAUGAGUAAUUGUGUAAUUGUGAGGACUGGGGAACAGUGGGAAGACUGGCUGCAGUGCUGGCCCUGCCACUGACUGAGUUUGAGCAAGGCCCAUCACCAACUGGGACUCAGUUUCCCCAAAAGGACCAGUCUUUGCUGUCUCCUGAGGCCCAUCGUACAUCUGACACACAUACUGUUUUGGGGAUGGCCACUGAGCAGCGGGGCCAGCAGAGGGAGCAGGAGUCAACAGAUGAGCUGCAGAGCUGGGCCAGCACCUUGAAGGGGCCUCUGGGACACAGGCCACCGCAGGCACCACCUCGUUCCAGAGCUCAGCAUGUUCCCGUGGUGGACUGAGUUUUAAAGUGACUUAUGACUUUAGAUAUGACUUUGCAAAGAGAUUUCUUAUUAGGGCGAGCUUGAAGGUUCUUUCUUUUUAUUUUUUUUGUAAUCUAAAAAAGAUCUUACUGCCAACAAAAGGGGGGCAUAAACAAGAGAUCUCUGUGUGAUCUUAGAAGCAAAUACAAUAGAUUCACAUUCAAAAUUUAUUUACAUUAACCUUUAGAAUAAAUUAACUUUUAAUGGUCAUUACCCUAGAGAAGAAUUGUACAAAAAUGUCAAAAGGGCCUCUUUGGAGUAUACAACAGGGUGUGUGUAGGUUAUGUAUAAAUACUAUGCCAUUUUAUAUAAGAGACUUGAACAUCAGGAAUUUUGGUAUCCAGGAAGGGUUCUGGAAUCAAUUCCCCUAAAAUACCAACGGAUGACUGUAUAGAAUUGUCAAAAAUAAAUUAUUUUAUAAUAUGCCAUGGUCUAAAAAUAGUAGUGAGUUUUUAAAAGCCAUAACCUGAUUUGCCUCUGAGGCCCUCUCUGUAAGCAUAGUUAAAGGGACAUUUCAUCUGAGAAAUUACCCUUGCCUACCAUCCCUACACUGUUAGCUCACAGAGUUAUUUCUGUUCUCUGUUUCCUUUGCUUCUAUAGCCAUAACUGAUAUUGCAUGAAAUAUUUGUGGUCUUAUAUUUGCUCCCCCAAUGCUUCUCUUUAUAAUAUUGAACCACCCAAAACCAGAGAGGGGAAUUAGGAUGCAUGUGGCUUGCUGAGAAACAUCCUAUAGACAUUUAGGAUAGCUUCAGAGUACCACCUCUACCUCUCCCACAACAAAACAUUGUCUUGGAACAACCACGUUGAUGAAAAGUUUUGUGAUUUUCUAACUCAGCAAUAUGACACAUACAAAUAGGGAGGGUAAAUAUACUAUAAAUGGCAUUUUCCAGGUAAAAUUAGAAGAGUACUAAAAAGGCAAGUUGUAAAAAGGAAGCUUUUGCUGAGACUCCUGGAAGGAGCAGAAGGAAGGGGGUGAGGGUAGCGAGAAGAAAAUAAGGCUGGGCGCGGCGGCUCACACUUGUAAUCCCAGCACUUUGGGAGGCUGAGGCAGACAGAUCACUUGAGCUCAGGAGUUUGAGACCAGCCCAGGCAACAUGGUGAAACCCCAUCUUUAUUAAAAAUACAAUAAAUUAGCUGGGCAUUGUGACUCGUGCACGUAGUCCUAGCAGGAGGGAGGCUGAGGUAGGAGAAUCGCUUGAACCCAGGAGGCGGAGAUUGCAGUGAGCUGAGAUUGCAUCACUGCACUCCAGCCUGGGCAACAGAGUAAGACUCCAUCUCAAAACAAAACAAAGAAACAAAAAAGAAAAUAAAAUGAAGGGUGGAAAUUAAGGAAAGCCUGUCUGAGCAGAGACAACCUAUAGCUCCAUCUUGUAUAAAAAAACCCCUCAUUUUUCUUGUCAAAAAGUGACUUGACAAACCUUUAUAGAAAAGAUGAAUGGGCUGGGCUAUUUGAAGACUUUUCUAGGGCUUGGUACUCUUAUUUUUAGAUACUAGAUCGUAUUAAGAAGGAAAAGGAGGCCAGGCACGGUGGCUCACGCCUGUAACCCCAACAUUUUGGCAGGUGGAUCAUGAGGUCAAGAUAUCGAGACCAUCCUGGCCAACAUGGUGAAACCACG